CUUGCAGAGGUUAUUGGCAUUCUGUCCAUCUCCAAGUCAUCCAUCUCUCGUGAACAUGGAGAAGCUUAUAGAUGGAGGUGGGCAUCCUGCCAACAGAUCUCUGUUGG
rfam:Musa acuminata subsp. malaccensis Doubled-haploid Pahang (DH-Pahang) genomic chromosome, chr1